rnacentral:lncRNA from 1 species
ACCAGUGACCACACACACAGACACAGCGAGUCUUCCAACACUCUCACCCUCCUCCCCUUCUCCUUCCUCCGCCAUGGUUGAACCUCCGAAAACCGUUGUUGAUCCUUACAACAACAUGUUGUCAAUCAACAAACAAACGCAUGUGAUGGAUUUUGCAAAGCGGUGGUGUAACUAAAAAGUUGAAACCGAAAUCUUCACCGAAACGGGAAGUUAGGAGUAACCGAUAGGAAGGAUUAAAAUGACGAAGCACCUUCAAACGCUACUAAACAGAAGGUUGAAGCUGCCAAACAGUAUAUAGAAAAAAACACUACAAACAAAGAGCAAAUGACGAAUCUUAACGCACGAAGGGAACGGCGUAAUGUUCUCGAGAAGAAAUUGGCUGAUUCAGAGGUCUCUGAAGAAGAAGAAAACAAACAAUAUACUUUAACAUCUUGAGAAAAAAGAGAC